GAUGAACGCUGGCGGCGUGCCUAAUACAUGCAAGUCGAGCGAACGGACGAGAAGCUUGCUUCUCUGAUGUUAGCGGCGGACGGGUGAGUAACACGUGGAUAACCUACCUAUAAGACUGGGAUAACUUCGGGAAACCGGAGCUAAUACCGGAUAAUAUUUUGAACCGCAUGGUUCAAAAGUGAAAGACGGUCUUGCUGUCACUUAUAGAUGGAUCCGCGCUGCAUUAGCUAGUUGGUAAGGUAACGGCUUACCAAGGCAACGAUGCAUAGCCGACCUGAGAGGGUGAUCGGCCACACUGGAACUGAGACACGGUCCAGACUCCUACGGGAGGCAGCAGUAGGGAAUCUUCCGCAAUGGGCGAAAGCCUGACGGAGCAACGCCGCGUGAGUGAUGAAGGGCUUCGGAUCGUAAAACUCUGUUAUUAGGGAAGAACAUAUGUGUAAGUAACUGUGCACAGCUUGACGGUACCUAAUCAGAAAGCCACGGCUAACUACGUG
rnacentral:rRNA from 1 species